AAGAAGAUGGCCAAGAGAGAAAGUAAGUCUCCAUCUUAAACAAUUAUUUUACUCUUUCUCUUACCCAUCUUAUGCAUUUGUUUUGUUUGCCCCUCCUUUUGGCCUUAGAUUUUUGUUUCAUUUCAAAAUUUCAAUAUUUUGGUUAGAUUUUUCCGGUUAUUCUUUAAUUUUACUUAGUUUAUAUCUGUUAUUUCUUGAUGGACAUGUAAACAUAUGAUUCUAUUUUUUUCAAUAUUGAUUUACAAUUGUCAUACUACCUCUGGAAUUCUUCUUGUUACUAAUAUUUAGAAAUGACAGUUGGAGGUAGACGAACAUAUAGGAUUUGGAGGUGGACGAACAGGGGAAACAUUGUGAUUUCAAAUUCUUUUUUUGGGUGAAUUUGCAACUAAAAUUACUUCUAUGCAAUACAUGUAUGCAUACGUUUUUCUCUCCUUAUCGAUAGAUUGUAGAAUCCACUCCAGAGCUCUAUUCUCUCUGCAUUUUGUUUCAUUUGCAGCUCUGCUUCUUGCCAUCGCUAUGGGUUAUCUUAUUCAGAAUUCUCUGGGUCGAGUUAGUCUUUCGUGUUUUUGUGUUUUUAAUUGCGGUAAGUUUUCUUCUUCUUUUAUUCUUUAUUUAUCGCACACUACCUAUUUCCCAUUAUUGGUUGGAAUAUAUGCAUUUGUAUACCUCUUUGUGUUUUUUUUUGUUUUUUUUGACUUUCUUCAAUUUAUUAAGAAAAUAGUUUUUUUAAUGCAUGUUGAUUUAUUUUAUUUUUCCAUGUUUCCUGCUUGUGUUACUUUUUGUGUUUCUAAUAUUUUUUAUGCAUGUCUUUUACAGUUUAAUUUUCGGAGCUUCCAAUAGUCCUGGAACCUUUCUGGGUGGGCAUGAUUAGCUCUUUUUCAGGUCAACAAAUUUUAUUAUGUUACUUUUGGUAAGUUUAGCUGUGAGUUAUGCAAUUCAAGUUUUGUAAUAACCUAAAGUAUCAAAAUUGUUGUUGGGAGAUUGGAUCUAUUCAUUUUCUCUAAUUUGACUUUUAAAUUUUUCUUCUCCGACUUUACUAUUUUCAUAUAAAUUUCUUUCUUGACGAUAUCUGUAUAUAUGAAAACUUUUACUUUCAUAAUGUUCUUUAUCUGUACAUGUUGUGUUUUAUGAUUAGUGACAACUUCCAUCAAUAUGACUUCUUGCUUUCCUUUUACUUUAUUUUUCCAGUUAUUUGAUCUUUUCAUUGUUUACUUAACAUGAUGGAUUUAAACUACAACCUAUACAGGAAGCAAGGAACUUCUAUAAUUUACCUUUUUCAACCUAUACAGCAAAGAGUUAUGCCAUAAAACACCAUCUCACAUCAUUUUAGCAGAAAACUUUCAUACUUUUCACACUAAGGAACUACAAGAAGUAACUCAGCAAAGAGUAUAGAUCCGACACUGAAAGGAAGCACCGAAGAAAGUAAGGAAACUCACCCCAAGAGAGAUAACAUUUUUGAAGUUGUGAUGGAGAAAGGCAAUUCCAGAGAGAGCAGCGAAAGGGAGAGAAUUAGAACAACGAAGGAAUUUCUGAACUUCAAGAGCAAUUAGAAACAACAGUUGGGGUAUACGAACCGGGGACAAAUAGGGGUACUUUAGUAAUUAUGAGUUUAUUUAGUGAUAAAUUGGUAACUAAGUCAAAGGAAAGCACGCGUACUACACUGUCUAAACACGUGUACUAUAAUUUUACUGUGUAAAAGUUUCAUUCUCUCCCACCUACCUUACAUGACUCCUCCAUUUUUCCUCCAAUUUCUUCCCAUCGUACAUUAAUGCAGUCUAGAAAUUUCUAUUGCCUUUGAUUUUUAUUCGAUUUUGUACAAAUUUUUCCAGCAGUGCUUCAAAUGGUUAGAUUCUCUAAGAUCGAUGUCUCGAAGUUUAGAAAUCUGAGAGAGGCGCAGUUCCAUGUUGUUUUAGAGAUUGAAAAAUGUUCGUCGUUUUACUACUAAUUUCUUAAAGUUACCAGAUUUUCUUAUAAUUAUUAUAGAAAUUCCUAUGGCUUUGACUCUCCUUUUAACCGAUUCUACACAUGCACCUAAAGAAGAUGGGCAAGAGAGAAAGUAAGUCUCCAUCUUAAACAAUUAUUUUACUCUUUCUCUUACCCAUCUUAUGCAUUUGUUUUGUUUGCCCCUCCUUUUGGCCUUAGAUUUUGGUUUCAUUUCAAAAUUUCAUUAUUUUGGUUUGGUUUUUCUGGUUAUUCUUUAAUUUUACUUAGUUUAUAUCUGUUAUUUCUUAAUGGGCAUGUAAACAUAUGGUUCUAUUUUUUUCAAUAUUAAUCUACAAUUGUCAUACUACCUCUGGAAUUCUCCUUGUUACUAAUAUUUAGAAACGACAGUUGGAGGUGGACGAACAUAUGGGAUUUGGAGGUGGACGAACAGGGGAAAACUUGUGAUUUCAAAUUCUUUUUUGGGUUGAAUUUGCAACUAAAAUUACUUCUUUGCAAUACAUGUGUAUACAUUUUUCUCUCCUUAUCGAUAGAUUGUAGAAUCCACUCCAGAGCACUACUCUCUCUGCAUUUUGUUUCCUUUGCUGCUCUGCUUCUGGCCAUCGCUAUGGGUCAUCUUUUUCAGAAUUCUCUGGGUCGAGUUUGUCUUUUGUGUUUUUGUAUUUUUGUAUUCUUUAUUUUUGAAUUGCGCGCUACCUAUUUCCCAUUAUUGGUUGGAAUAUAUGCAUUUGUAUACCUCUUUGUGUUUUUUUUGUUUUUUUUGACUUUCUUCGAUUUAUUAAGAAAAUAGUUUUUUUAAUGCAUGUUGAUUUAUUUUAUUUUUCCAUGUUUCCUGCUUGUGUUACUUUUUGUGUUUCUAAUAUUUUUUAUGUAUGUCUUUUACAGUUUAAUUUUCGGAGCUUCCAACAUUCCUUGAACUUUUCUGGGUGGGCAUGAUUAGCUAUUUUUCAGGUCAACAACUUAUAUUAUGUUACUUUUGGUAAGUUUAGCUGUGAGUUAUGCAAUUCAAUUUUUCUAAUAACCUAAAGUAUCAAAAUUGUUGUUGGGGGAUUGGAUCUAUUCAUUUGCUCUAUAUUUGACUUUUAAAUUGUUCUUCUCCGACUAUACUACUUUCAUAUAAAUUUCUUUCUUGACGAUAUCUGUAUAUAUGAAAUUUUUUACUUUCAUAAUGUUCUUUAUCUGUACAUGUUGUGUUUUAUGAUCAGUGACAGCUUCCAUCAAUAUGACUUCUUGCUUUCCUUUUACUUUAUUUUUCCAGUUAUUUGAUCUUUUCAUUAUUUACUUAACAUGAUAGAUUUAAACUACAAAAACUGAUGCAACUAAGACGCUCGAUGUUAUUCCUGCAACAACUGAACAAUUUAACAAUUUGAUUGGUCAGUGAAAUUGUAAAACAAGUGAAAAGGAUACAUCCCUUGAAAAGGAUACACGCUAUAUGUCAUAUCGGAUCUGGCAAUGACCAAGAAAUAAAAAAUUCAUGAGGGUUCUAUUUAGUUAAAUACAGUAGUAGAUGAAAAAGGUGCAUAAACUUCAGUUUUACUUUUUGUUGUAAGAUUCUUAUCUCCUAAAGAAUUCUUCCCAAAGAUUUGAUUUUAUGUUUGUGAUUUCUUUUGAGGGAAACAUAGUCAAUUUCUGGUUCUGUGUUUUUUUUUUGCGUAAUACUUUUGAAGUAGAGUUUUUUAUUUGAAUUGAUAGAAAAUAUGUGUGGUUAUACAAGUAAUUAAGUCUAAGAUAAAUGGUUGGUUAAAGUAUAUUCGUAUCUGUCCCUUUGAAGGAUUUAGGAGAAAUCAUCAUGGGAAUUUUCUUUCUGUAUCAUUCUAUAUAUCAUCUGUACAGUGUAUGCUCUUUAUAUACAAGUAAAAUUGCCUGACAAGGCAUCUUUCUAUGCUAACAAACUCUAACAGAAUUGUAAAAUAAAUAAUUGCAAAAGAAAAAUAUUUACAUGGUAAAAUCCCUAAUCUACCCUUAAUGUUGUUUCUAAAAUUCCACAACUGUGCAGCUUAUGAGACGCAUGAUGGAGGACACACGUCUUAAUUAUAGCAAUCUUUGAGAACCUUAGAUGUUCUUUCUCUCAACUAGGUCAUGUCUCCUUCUCCUUCUGUAAUCGGAGACUCGUCGGAAAUGGUAGAAUGAAGAUUUUGUCCGGCAACACCCCCCUUCAAGCUGGAAACCAGUGAUCGGACUCCAAGCUUGACCAGAAAAGAUCUAUGCAAAGGACCAGCUAGUGCUUUUGUAAAAAGAUUGGCGAUUUGAGAAGAAGAAGGAACAAAAGACAAAGAGAUCAAUCCAUCCAGAAGUUUUUCACGAACGAAGUGCCAAUCAACCUCAAUAUGCUUGGUCCGUUCAUGAAAGUAUGUGGAUGGCUUCUUGGUUAUCGCAAUGAAGAGGAACCGGCAAAGAGGGAACAACAGAUAGGUCGUGCAACAAUCGGACCACCCAAGUUAUUUUAGCAGCUAAUCGGCGCAUUGAACGGUAUUCAGCUUCUGGGGAAGAAAGAGCGACUACCUGCUGCUUCUUAGAUUUCCAAGAAAUGGGGUAACCACCAAGACUUAAGAAAAAACCACUCACUGAACGGCGUGUAUUGGAGCAAGAAGCCCAGUCGGCAUCGCAGAAAGCUAAGAGUUGAAAUGAAGGUUCAGAAGACAUGAAUAAACCAAGACCUGGAUCCCUGGAAAUGUAACGCAAAACAUGCAAUGCUGCUUGGUAAUGUCCAGUAUAGGGAGAUUGCAUAUGCUGACUGAGAGUUUGCACAGCAAAAGAAAGGUCUGGACGUGUGCUAGUUAAAAAAUUCAGCUUGCCCAAAAGACGUCGGUAAACAGUCGGAUCAGGGAGAGGUUCACCACAACUGAAAGAAAGCUUAAUGGUAGGAUCCAAUGGAGAAGAAGCUGGUCGAACAUUCAAGCAAUCAAAAUCUGUAAGUAACUCUAAAGCAAACUUUCUUUGUGUGACAAUUAAACCUCCUGAUUCCCUGAUCAAUUCUAAACCCAAGAAAUAAUAUGCCAACCCCAAAUCCUUUAUUUUAAAUUCCAUGUCAAGAAACUGUUUGAUCUCAUUGAUUUCUGCUUGAUUAUUACCAGUGAUCAAGACAUCAUCCACGUAAACUGCAAGAAUGGUUAUCAAAUCCCCAGAUACUUUGAAGAAAAGAGAGUAGUCAUUAAGGGAGGAAGUGAAACCUCUGGUUCCCAAAGCAGAAGACAAAUGUGCAUACCACUGACGAAAAGCCUGUUUGAGGUCGUACAAUGAUUUUCUAAGUCGACAAACAUGAGAAGGAGAUGGAGGAGAUAGUCCAAGUGGGAACCUCAUAUAUACUUCUUCAUCUAAUUCACCAUGGAGGAAGGCGUUAUUGACGUCAAGUUGAAACAAAUCCCAAUUUCUUUUCACAGCAAUAGACAGAAUGCAGCGGAUUGUUGUCAUUUUCACAACCGGAGAGAAGGUAUCAGUAUAGUCAAUUCCUUCCCUUUGUGUGUCCCCUCGAAUUACCAAUCUCGCUUUCAGUCGCUCCAAAGUCCCAUCAGAUUUCAGCUUAACUUUGUAAACCCACUUGCAGGGUAAUGCCUUCUUCCCUUCAGGCAGUUCGACAACAUCCCAAGUAUGAUUAGACGCUAAUGCCUCAAACUCCUUUACCAUGGCAUCUUGCCAUCCAGGAUGAGCAGCUGCUUGGUGAUAGGUUUGAGGUUCAUUAAUGUGACAUAUAGAAGAAAUGAGCCCCUAGUUCUCUUUAGUCAAGGCAGAGAAACAAAAAGAAUGGAAUGGAAGGAAAGGAGGAUUAGGAGAAAUAGAAGAAGCAUUAUUGCAGAGAUAAUCGGAGAGAUACUUAGGGGCAUUGUGAACUCUUGUGGAUUUGCGCAGCUCAGGUCCAUGUGAUGAGGAUAACACUGGUUCUAAAGAGUCUUGUGUACCUGCAGGUGGAGAUGGGGGCCUUAUAAUUAGGAGUUUUAUAAGGCCCCCAGGUGUCAAUAUGUAUUAGAUCAAAACAGUGGUUUGAGGUGAUUUUACUAGGAUAAAAAGGCAGUUUCGACUGUCUUGCCAUAGGGCAAAUUGUGCAAGGGCAGUCUUCUUAAUCUGAAAAAGUAAUAGGAAUGUCUUUAAUAUGCUUCAUAGCUGUAAAAGGUAAGUGUCCCAAUCUUGAAUGCCAUAGUUUAUCCAUAACAGAAACAUGGGAAAUAGAAACAAUUUUAUUCAUAAUGUCAUUUGAUUGUCCUUGAUAAAUAGGAUGGACAGACCCUGGAUACAAAGACUUUGGACAAACUGACUCAUACUUAGAAGAAGGCACUGGACUACAAGACUUGGACGCGACAUUAAAAAGAGAAGAGAUUGGUGCAUGAGGCUUGAUCGAUCGAGAUUCCAACUGGUGAGUGUUAUCCUCCAGCACAUAGAGCCCUGAUGCAGCUUUACCAAAAAUCUGAUACCUCUUCUUUGAAGGGACCUGUAUAGCACAACCAAACUUGUUAAAAAGAAGAUCACAAUUAAAUUGGUAGCACAAUUGGUAGACUGAUAACAAAUUGCGCCUGAAAGAAGGAACAAAUAACACAUGGUGUAGUUCAAAUUUAGGAGUUAAGAAUAGACUUCCUAUAUAAUGUACUUUUACUUUAGAAGAAUUGGGGAGGCUGACCAAAAUUGGUGGUGACAGAACUGUUAUAUUGUGUAACAGGUGUUUUUGAUAUGUCAUAUAUUGAGAUGCUCCUGAAUCUAUGAUCCAAGGAAUGAGAGUGAGCGGAGAAAACAAAGAGGUAAAGAAGUGACAAGCAAAGUGUAUACCAGCUAGAUUAGCACUGGGUGAGGCAACAGGGUUUGAAGUGGAUCCUCCAUUCUGCACAGAUUGAAACAUGCUAAUCAACCGCUCGACCUGCUCUUUAGAAAAUCCAUGAGACUGAACAAGAGAGGAAACAACAUUUCCUGAAAUUCCUAUAGUGAGUUCAGGUGUACAACUGGCUGAAUUUGCAUUAGGAGUAGCAUAUGCACCCUAUUUCUGCCUGUUAAACUUAAAAUGUGGUGGGUAUUCUAUUAACUUAUAGCAACCUUCCUUGACAUGCCCAGAUUUUUUGCAGUAGUUGCAGAAGAGAUCACUCCUUUUUACAUCAGCACCUGAGUUUGGAAUACCAACUUUGGCUCCUCCAUGAUGUUUCUGAGGAGCCCAUUUUUGCCCAGAAACCAUAAAAGCAGAAGACUCAACGGAAAAGGAAGUACCAGAAUGAAUUUCUCUUUGUGACUCAUCAUGUAAUACAAUGGAAUAGGCUUGAGCAGUAGAAGGUAAGGGUUUCAUCAUUAGAAUGUUACCUCUCACUCCAUUGUAGGCUUCAUUCAGUCCCAUCAGAAAUUGAAUCAAUUUUUGGUCUUCAUUCACCUUAUGGUUGUGAGUUUUAGCACCACACUUACAAUCACGGCUACAAAUCAUAAAAGUAUUAAGCACCUUCAUUUGAUCCCAAAUCCUUUUGAGCUUGUUAAAAUAGUUGGCAAGAUCAGAAGUUCCCUAACUGAUUGUAUUUAACUCUCUCUGCAGCUGAAACAAUUUUGUUCCAUCGGCUUGUCCAUACCUUUGCUCCAGCUCUUGCCAGAGUUCCUCAGCAGUUUGAGAUUAGAUGACACUUUCUGCAAUUUCCUUGCUAACAGAGUUGAGCAACCAAGAAAGUACCAUGUCGUUGUAUCUCUUCCAUUGAGUGAGUAGAGCAGACUGAGAAGAGGGUGGAGGAUAGGCUCCAGUGAUGAAACCGAGCUUGUUUUUGGCUGACAAAGCAAUCAAGACGCCCCUCUUCCAAUUCCCAUAACUUGUGCCAUCAAAAAUGGUGUUGAUCAAGUUCAUCCCUGGGCUAUCAAAUGGGGUAAGAAAGUAAGGAUGAGAGAUAUCAAUCUGUUGAGCAAUGGUAGGAGCUGAAGAACCAGUGCCAUCAUCCUUAGAAAUAGCUGAAGGUGUAACUGGAGUUUUGUCUCCCAUUGUUCAGAUAUAGAUAGUGAGGCAAAGAAGAAGAAGAAAAAGACAAGAAGAAGAAAAGAGAAAAAAAAAUACACUAGAUCUCAGAAUUGCUCUGAUACCGUGAAGGAUUUAGGAGAAAUCAUCAUGGGAAUUUUCUUUCUGUAUCAUUCUAUAUAUCAUCUGUACAGUGUGUGCUCUUUAUAUACAAGUAAAAUUGCCUGACAAGGCAUAUUUCUAUGCUAACAAACUCUAACAGAAUUGUAAAAUAAAUAAUUGCAAAAGGAAAAUAUUUACAUGGUAAAAUCCCUAAUCUACCCUUAAUGUUGUUUCUAGAAUUCCACAACUGUGCAGCUUAUGAGAUGCAUGAUGGAGGACACACGUCUUAAUCAUAGCAAUCUUUGAGAACCUUAGAUGUU
rnacentral:lncRNA from 1 species